CGUCCGAAGACACAUUGGUUUUCACACUCUAACUUUAGUUUAAGUGAAUGGAUCUCUAUGAAAUUUUACCAUAAGGAUUGAUUUUGGGGGUUAUGGUACCAACUUAAGGAAUUAGGGGCCAAAAAGGGGCCAAAAAUAAGCAUUUUUGUAACUUCCAGACAUAACUUGUGUGUUAGUGUAUGGAUCUCUCUGAGAUUGUACCACAAGGUUCCAUAUCACACAGGGAAUGCUGGGAUUGAUUUUGGGGGUAAUUUCCUCAAAAUAUUAGGAAUUAGGGGCCAAAAAAGGGGCAAAAAACAAGCAUUUUUCUAGUUUCAUGACAAUAACUUGUGUGUAAGUGUAUGGAUCUUUCUGAAAUUGUACUACAAGGUUCCAUAUCAUAAAGGGAAAGCUGGAAUUGAGUUUGGGGGUAAUUGCCCAAAACGUUAAGGAAUAAGGCGCCAAAAAUAAGCAUUUUUCUAGUUUCCAGACAAUAACUUGUGUUCAAGUUUAAGGAUCUCUCUGAAAUUGUACUGCAAGGUACCAUACCACAAAGGGAAGGCUGGGAUUGAUUUUGGGGGCAAUUGCUUUAAAAUUUUAGGAAUUAGGGGCCAAAAAAGGGGCAAAAAACAAGAAUUUUUCUAGUUUCAUGACAAUAACUUGUGUGUAAGUGUAUGGAUCUUUCUGAAAUUGUACUACAAGGUUCCAUAUCACAAAGGGAAAGCUGGAAUUGAGUUUGGGGGUAAUUGCCCAAAAUGUAUAGCAAAAAGGGGCCAAAAAUAAGCAUUUUUCUAGUUUCCAGACAAUAACUUGUGUUCAAGUGUAUGGAUCUCUCUGAAAUUGUACUGCAAGGUACCAUACCACAAAGGGAAGGCUGGGAUUGAUUUUGGGGGUAAUUGCCUAAAAAAUUUAGGAAUAAGGGGCCAAAAAGGGGAAAAAAACACGCAUUUUUCUAGUUUCAGGACAAUAACUUGUGUGUAAGUGUAUGGAUCUUUAUGAAAUUGUACUACAAGGUUCCAUAUCACAAAGGGAAAGCUGGGUUUGAGUUUGGGGGUAAUUGCCCUAAACUUUUAGGAAUUUGGGGCCAAAAAGGGGCCAAAAAAACAAGCAUUUUUCUAGUUUCCAGACAAUAACUUGUGUAUAAGUGUAUGGAUCUCUCUGAAAUUGUACUGCAAGGUACCAUACCACAAAGGGAAGGCUGGGAUUAAGUUUGGGGUGAUGAAUCAUAAGGGGGUUCAAAAAAUUGGGGGGGGGGAUUUUUUUCCCCCUUUUUUUCCUUUUUUUUUCUUUAAAAUUUUCCAUUUUAAAUUGGUUAUUUCUGAUUUAUAUAUAAAAGCAAAUAAUAAUGAUAUGGUUUGAAUAGGUAAAUUAAAAAUUUUUAAGUUCUUAGACCACAUUCAUUCUGUGUCAGAAACCUAUGCUGUGUCAAAUAUUUAAUCAAAAUCCAAAUUCAGUGCUGUAUCAAGCUUGAAUGUUGUGUCCAUACUUGCCCCAACUGUUCAGGGUUCGACCUCUGCGGUCGUAUCAAGCUGUGCCCAGCGGAGCAUUUUAUUCAUUUUAUCAGAUAUUAUAAGCAUAUGUUUACUUGUUGGUGUAUGGAAUGACUACAAGGUGUCAUAUAAAAAUAAGAAGAUGUCUGUCUGCCAAGUUUAAUAUUACUGUGACCUCAUUUUCAUAGAAUAUUGAUAAUAUCAAGCAAAAAUGAUGAGCAAGACAAGAUACAAAUGAUCCAAAAUUGUCAGUUGCCUACUCAUUAUGUAAUAGUAGUUAUUGUCAUUAAAUGAUAAUGUUUACCCUUUUAUGUGUAGGGCAAGAACAUUAAAGAUAAAGGGAAACUAUAAACAAAAGAAAUUAUCAACAAAAAUAGAUUUACAGAUGUCAACAAAGCCUAAAUGGUCAGACAUCUUGGUUUUCAUGAUCAUCAUUCAACAGGUCAAUACUGAACAGCAAACUUAAAGUUGAUAUUUUUCUACAUAGUGUGACUUUUUUAUUAAUUUGAAAUGGAAUGUGUUUUUUUUUCCUACAUAAGAAAGAGGAAAUUUCAACAUAAUGAC